UACGUAGGGUGCAAGCGUUGUCCGGAAUUAUUGGGCGUAAAGGGCACGUAGGCGGUCCGACAAGUCAAAGGUGAAAUCCCUCGGCUCAACUGAGGAACUGCCUUUGAAACUGUCGGACUUGAGUCCGGGAGAGGGUAGUGGAAUUCCCAAUGUAGCGGUGAAAUGCGUAGAUAUUGGGAGGAACACCAGUGGCGAAGGCGGCUACCUGGACCGGAACUGACGCUGAUGCGCGAAAGCGUGGGUAGCAAACAGG
rnacentral:rRNA from 1 species